rnacentral:rRNA from 1 species
UGGGGAAUCUUGGACAAUGGGGGCAACCCUGAUCCAGCCAUGCCGCGUGAGUGAUGAAGGCCUUAGGGUCGUAAAGCUCUUUCGCCUGUGAAGAUAAUGACGGUAGCAGGUAAAGAAACCCCGGCUAACUCCGUGCCAGCAGCCGCGGUAAUACGGAGGGGGUUAGCGUUGUUCGGAAUUACUGGGCGUAAAGCGCACGUAGGCGGACCAGAAAGUUGGGGGUGAAAUCCCGGGGGCUCAACCCCGGAACUGCCUCCAAAACUAUUGGUCUAGAGUUCGAGAGAGGUGAGUGGAAUUCCAAGUGUAGAGGUGAAAUUCGUAGAUAUUCGGUGGAACACCAGUGGCGAAGGCGACUCGCUGGUCCGGUACUGACGCUGAGGUGCGAAAGCGUGGGGAGCAACAGGAUUAGAUACCCUGGUAGUCCACA